UCUUAGGUUAGCUCAGUGGUUAGAGCUUAUGCCUUGUGACCGGAAGGUCCCGGGUUCGGAUCUCGUCAGGGGCA
rnacentral:tRNA from 1 species